AGAACGAACGCUGGCGGCAUGCCUAACACAUGCAAGUCGAACGCUUGCCCGGUUUCGGCCGGGCAGGAGUGGCGCACGGGUGAGUAGCGCGUGGGAACCUGCCCUGUUGUGGGGGAUAACCGAGGGAAACUUCGGCUAAUACCGCAUGCGCCCGGAGCAAUCCGGGGAAAGAUUUAUCGCAGCAGGAGGGGCCCGCGUCGGAUUAGGUAGUUGGUGGGGUAACGGCCCACCAAGCCUGUGAUCCGUAGCUGGUCUGAGAGGAUGAUCAGCCACACUGGGACUGAGACACGGCCCAGACUCCUACGGGAGGCAGCAGUGGGGAAUAUUGGACAAUGGGCGCAAGCCUGAUCCAGCAAUGCCGCGUGAGUGAUGAAGGCCUUAGGGUUGUAAAGCUCUUUCGCCCGCGACGAUGAUGACGGUAGCGGGAGAAGAAGCCCGGCUAACUUCGUGCCAGCAGCCGC
rnacentral:rRNA from 1 species